rnacentral:lncRNA from 1 species
CCUGGCCUCCCAAAGUGCUGGGAUUACAGGCAAGAGCCACCGUGCCCAGCCCCCAACUCUUAUUUUCAUACCUACAAGCCAAACUGCCUCUGCCAUGCCUCUGAGCUUCCUCUCUGGAAUGCCUAAUCUCCUAACUUUUGGAGACUGUAACAAUGAUGACAGUGAUGAUCAUAAAUGAAGAAGGAAAGAGUGAUUUCCAGGUGAGUGAAAGAUUUGACACAGGCUCUUUCCUGGGACCUCUGCGGACUCUCCCUCUUCCAUAUCACAACAGGUAAGAUACCUGGAAACUUGCAGGACGCCAGGCCAGCUCGUCUACUCAGGAUGCUUUUUCCAGAGUGAAUCCUACUCAGAAGAUUCCCACACUCCCAAAGGUGCCCAUUUUAGUGUCUCAUUACAGAUUUUUAUUCCAAUCUAAGAAAUCCUUACAGGAACUGGUCUCAGAAGGCCAUAUAUGGCUUAGUUCAGAAACAAUAAUAUAGCAAUAGCUAUAAUCUUAGUAGCAGUUUACCUUUCUGAGGCCUUUAUUCAAUGCUAGGCACCAUGAUGAAGAUGUGACAUGUAUAUUUUCAUUAAUUCCCCACAAGAAGUCUAUGAGAUAUACCCAUUUUACAGAUGAGGAAACUAAGGCCAGGAUCACGAGUGGUGGCAGGAGAUGGAAGCCAGACUCCUAGACUCCAGGUGUGUGCUCUCCAAACACCUGCCGCGGCUGGGCCCUUGGUGCAGCCUGCACUCUUACCAGCUCUUCUUCAACAGCUAGUUCAGAUCAUGUCUCCAAACCCCACCCUUUCCCAGUUCUCAGCCACUGACCUUAUUUCCACUUAAAUCUGAAAAACAUACGACAAACUUGCUCAACCUCCCAGUAUCAGACAAACCCACUUAUUUCUGCAGGACUCUCCUCACAUCUAGAGAGAGGAUUCAUCCCUGCCUAAGCCCACUUAUCUGUUCCUUCUCCAGCACUCUUAGAACCUGAAGGCAUAGACUGUCCCCGCUGUACCGGAUCCUGGAGUUUCGACUGCUUCCUCUCUACUGGAUCUUUCCCAUCAGCUUUAAACAUGUUACGUCUCCUUCAUUCUACAGACAAAACCAAAACACUCCCCUCAACGCUUUUUCCUCCUCCAAUUAUUGUCCUUUGUCCUUCCCUUCACAGCCAUGCUUCAAAGGCUUGCCUGUCUCCAGUUCCUCACCUUCCCCCAUCAGGGUCCCUUCCCUGAAACGGCAUUGGCUAAGGUCACCAAUGACUUCCAUGUUGUUAACUCCAGUGGGCAUCUUUUACUCUCUUAUUCAACAGUUUUUUAAAAAAUUCUUUUAAAUCUGGUUCACUUAACUUUGUAUUUCCUUCAUAUAGAUCUCUGGCCACUUCUCCUUUGUGGCGUAUCUUCCUGUACUAGGCUUUAAGUAUAAGAAUUCCAUAAAGUUCAGUCCUGGGCCCCCUUUCUCCUCACUCUACACUCCUCCUCAGUGAUCUAACACCCCAGGAUUUCAAUGGCACCCCUAAAACUAUAUCUCCCAGAACCAUCUCUCCAGUCCCAACCUCUCUUCUGAGCUCUAGGCUUAUCAACUCAACAGCCCAUGUGAUACCUCCAUUUGGAUUUCUCAAGGCAUCUCAUAGUCAACAAGUAAAAUAAAAUCAAUGACCUGAUUGCCCUCAAGCCUGUUUAUCUUCCCAUUGGUCUCACUUCGGUGAAUCCAUCUAUUCACACAAGCCGGAAACCUCUUCAUCCUUACUCUGUCCAAUUCAUCAAGUUCUGCCAAAUUUGCUUCCUAAAAUCCCUCUCAUAUAGAUGUACUCUUCUCCAGCUGCGCCACCUUCCUACUUCAAGUUCUGUCAUCUCUUCCCUUCUUCCACCCCCAACCCCAAUGCUAAUUUUUCCAUACUCUAGCCAGAGAUCUUAUUAAAAUGCAGAUCUUGUCAUCCCCUGCUGCCUAAAGCUCCUCCAUGGCUUUCCCAUCGCUCUAGUUUAAGUAUCUAAAUCCUAAUGUGACCUACGAAGGUUCUGCCACGGCUUCCAACUUGCUCUCACACCUCUCCACACUCUAGCCACCUGGCCUGCCCUAGGCUCCUGGAACAACACACUAAGCUCCCUCCUGCCUCAGGGUUUUAUGAAUGCAAUUUCUGUGUGUGGAAUGUGCCUUCCCAAGUACCAAGCUGACAGCUCCUCAUCCUUCAGUUCUCACUUCAAGAGCUGAUUUCUUAGAAAGGCCUUUCUGGAUUCCCCAGACAAGAUAGUUCCACGCAGAGGAUCUCACAGUACCCUACACAUUUCCUUCAGGGUGCUUACCAUGCUUUGACAUUAUUUGUGGGAUUAUUAAGGAUAAUCUCGUCCCAUUAGACUCCAAUGACUACAGGGAGCAGUUAGUUUUACUCACUGUUGUAUCCCUAGAAACUAGAACAGUCCUUGGCACAUAGUAAAUGGAAUGUAUAAAUGAACUAUUAGCAAAGAAAACAAAAAGAGCUGUAAAAACUCUUGGCCAAACCAAGGCAGAGAUUCUUAAAUAUUGGUGGGAGAAGACCCUCGGGAUCACCUGUUGGCAGGCGUGCUGACCACUCUCAAAUGCCCUUUUCUUCUUUUAAAAUGAAAAACUGUUGUUCAGAGAUAAUGGGGCAGAAAGGAUGCAACUACGGAGAAAACUCCAUGGAAUCACUGAAGAUUAUGUUGGAUAACAUGUCAGUCA